UGAUCGAUUCUGAGGUGUGGUAAAAGUGAAAGCAUGCAUAUUAACUAAUUUGAAAAACAAACGUACAACUGUACAAGUGGUGGCAUGCAUGCAUGCAUUAUGUUAGCAGCACGCAGACGCAGGAGCAAAGAGGCAGGAGGCCAGCAGCAGGCAGGCAGCUAGAGAUCGAUGCAAGAAAGCAAAGCAAAUUGUCAAUGGGGGCCGGGGGCAGGCAGGCAUGCAUCCCGAUGUUGCAUGUAGCUUCUUGUUCUUGGACUGGAUUGGACUGCAGAUAUUCCUUCCGAUCCCUUUUAAUUUGCAAAGAGAGGUGGUACAUACAUUACAUACUACGGCCACUACUAGCUGCUUGCUUGCUUUGCUUUGCUUGUGGGGCGCCUCUGCACUGCACUGCACUGCAUGCCUGUGGAUCACCAGCUGCCGAGACUUUCUUUAGUUUGUGAUGAAUGAAUUCAAAGGAAAUUAUUACCACAAGCUAGCUAGUUAGCUAGAAACCUCGUCAUGUGGCAUGCAUUGAUGAUGCACAACAAUAAUAACUGCUAAAUCAUUUGCUUGCAGAAGUACCGGUCGCACAGAAAGCACCUGAUGGCGCGGGAGGCGGAGGCCGCCACCUGGGCGCAGAAGCGCCACAUGUACGCGCCGCCAGCUCCAAGGACGACGACGACGACGGACGCCGCCAGGCCGCCGUGGGUGGU
rnacentral:lncRNA from 1 species